rnacentral:rRNA from 1 species
UGGGGAAUAUUGCACAAUGGGGGAAACCCUGAUGCAGCAACGCCGCGUGAGUGAUGAAGGCCUUCGGGUUGUAAAGCUCUGUCUUCAGGGACGAUAAUGACGGUACCUGAGGAGGAAGCCACGGCUAACUACGUGCCAGCAGCCGCGGUAAUACGUAGGUGGCAAGCGUUGUCCGGAUUUACUGGGCGUAAAGGGAGCGUAGGCGGAUACUUAAGUGGGAUGUGAAAUACCCGGGCUCAACUUGGGUGCUGCAUUCCAAACUGGGUGUCUAGAGUGCAGGAGAGGAAAGUGGAAUUCCUAGUGUAGCGGUGAAAUGCGUAGAGAUUAGGAAGAACACCAGUGGCGAAGGCGACUUUCUGGACUGUAACUGACGCUGAGGCUCGAAAGCGUGGGGAGCAAACA